rnacentral:lncRNA from 1 species
AUAUAAAUAGGACAAUAUCAGGAACGGGAACACAACAGCGAGAAUGCUGGAAUAAUAUAUCAAAUGUCCUGCUGGACCUGCAUGUGUGUGAGGGGGUCAGUGUUUGCAAGGGUGUGUUUGCGGUCGUGCGUGAACGCAUGUGUGUGUGUGAAUGCAUGUGUGCGUGCGUGUGUGUGCAAUGCACGCACACACACACACACACACACACACACACACACACAUGCACGCAAGGACACAUGCAUGUGUCCUUCGUGCAUGUGUGUGUGAGUGUGUGAUUAUUUGAUUACCUUUAUUUGAACAGGUAAUCAAAUAAUGUCAUGUCAUCAAGAACUAAUUCUUAACAUCCUGAAUUGUAAUUCUUCACAACGGUGUGGCAAACCGCGCAGCCUGUGGAGGGAGGGGCGGGGGCUGAUGAGGAAGGCCCAGAGUUAGGAGACAGAAGCGCAACAUUUCCAUACGAUCCCAAUCGGCGUGGCUCUGAUAGCACACAGUCCAGCCCACAGGCGGCGUGCAGUACGCUAGCAGACAGCAGCAGCACAACAGCAGAUACAUGACAAGACAGACAUGUUCCCGCAUGCAUGCACGGACCCACAGUCAAACACCAACGUGCAUUUGAUAGACAGGCGCACGAUGAUGCGUGACCGUGGGCGUGCUUUGCUGUGCACGGGCAUUGUGUCCGUCCAUGCAUGAGGGUUGAAUGUGUGUCGGAUUUUUGUGUUUUCUUUUGCGUGUGUUUGUCCACACCAGCGUGCGUUUCUGCGUGUGUGUUUGCGUGCGUGGGUGCAUGUGUGCGUGUGUGCAUGUAUGUCGGUUUUUUCUGUUUCUUUAGCAUGUGUUUGUACGCACCAGCAUGUGCGUGCGUGUGUGCAUGUGUGCAUGUGUGUGUGCGUGUGUGUGCGGGGCGUGUGUAACACGUCUCCUCCCUGGAGCUGCAGGAGCGGCAGCACGCGGCCCUCCAGGUCGCCGCGCUGCAGGCCCAGAGGGAGCACGGCGAGCUGGAGCAGCAGCGGCAGGCGGAGGAGCUGCGGGCGCGGGGCCAGGAGGUGCUGCAGCAGGAGGUCAGCCGACUGACGCAGGAGCACCAGCAGAGCCUGCUGACCGCCCAGAGCCAGAGCACACAGGCUCUGCUCCAGAAGGAGGGGGAGAAGGCGGUGCUGGUGGAGCGGCUCCAGGGGCUCCAGCAGGACCUGGUCUCCGCCGGCCUGGACCUGCAGCGCACCAGGAGAGAGGCCCAGAGCCGGCUGGAGCAAGACAAGGACUCCCUGGCGCUGCUGCAUGGGGAGCUGCAGCAGCUACAGACGCGCCUCCAGGAGUCUCAGAGCAGCCAGGAGAACCAGAAGCUCACCCUGACGGAGCAGGUCAGAGAGCUGGGCCAGCAGAGGGGCCAGCUCCACCAGGAGGUGCAGGUGGUCCGCCGGGCGCUGCAGCAGGCGGAGGAGCAGCGGGAGGCGGGGCGCGGCGAGCUGCAGGAGGCCCGCCGCCUGCACCAGGAGGCCCUCCAGGAGGCCCGCCGCCUGCACCAGGAGGCCCUCCAGGACCGGGACCAGCAGCGCCAGGAGGCCCAGGACACCAGGAGGCUCCUGGGGGACCAGAGGGAGGAGAGGGAGGCCCUCCACGCCUCCAACCAGGAGCUGAGGGCCGCCGUGAAGAGGGCCGAGAGCGACAACAGCAGUCUGCGGCGUGCGGGGGAGGAGACGGAGCAGACUGUGUGUGUGCUGGAGGAGGGCAGGAGGUCUCUUCAGGAGGAGGCCUCCACCCUGCGCUCCACCCUGAGGCAGCUGGAGAAGGCCCGCAUGCAGUGCCGCCGCGAGCUGCAGGAGCUGCGCCGGCAGGUGAAGGUCCUGGAGGCGGAGGGCCGGCAGCAGAAGGAGGAGCUGCAGGAGGUGCACAGCCGGCUGUCCCAGGAGGAGCAGAAGGAGGAGGAGGCGCGGCGGGAGGCGUUCACUCUGAAGCAGAGGGUGGUGGAGUGCGAAGCGGGAAGAGAGGCGGCCCUGAAGGAGUGCGCUGGCUUCCAGCGGCGUGUCGGUGA